rnacentral:rRNA from 1 species
GACGAACGCUGGCGGCGUGCUUAACACAUGCAAGUCGAACGGAAAGGCCCUGCUUUUGUGGGGUGCUCGAGUGGCGAACGGGUGAGUAACACGUGAGUAACCUGCCCUUGACUUUGGGAUAACUUCAGGAAACUGGGGCUAAUACCGGAUAGGAGCUCCUGCUGCAUGGUGGGGGUUGGAAAGUUUCGGCGGUUGGGGAUGGACUCGCGGCUUAUCAGCUUGUUGGUGGGGUAGUGGCUUACCAAGGCUUUGACGGGUAGCCGGCCUGAGAGGGUGACCGGCCACAUUGGGACUGAGAUACGGCCCAGACUCCUACGGGAGGCAGCAGUGGGGAAUAUUGCACAAUGGGCGGAAGCCUGAUGCAACAACGCCGCGUGCGGGAUGACGGCCUUCGGGUUGUAAACCGCUUUCGCCUGUGACGAAGCGUGAGUGACGGUAAUGGGUAAAGAAGCACCGGCUAACUAAGUG